rnacentral:hammerhead_ribozyme from 1 species
NUCCAGCUGACGAAUCCCAAAUAGGACGAAACGCGCGUCCUGGAU